rnacentral:rRNA from 1 species
GUGGGGAAUCUUCCGCAAUGGACGAAAGUCUGACGGAGCAACGCCGCGUGAGUGAAGAAGGUUUUCGGAUCGUAAAGCUCUUUCGUUAGGGACGAACGUGCUCUUUGUGAAUAAUGAGGAGUAAUGACGGUACCUAAAUAAGAAGCCACGGCUAACUACGUGCCAGCAGCCGCGGUAAUACGUAGGUGGCAAGCGUUGUCCGGAAUUAUUGGGCGUAAAGCGCGCGCAGGCGGGAUAUCAAGUCUGUCUUAAAAGUGCGAGGCUCAACCUCGUGAGGGGACAGAAACUGGUAUUCUUGAGUGUCGGAGAGGAAAGUGGAAUUCCAAGUGUAGCGGUGAAAUGCGUAGAGAUUUGGAAGAACACCAGUGGCGAAGGCGACUUUCUGGACGAUGUCUGACGCUGAGGCGCGAAAGCUAGGGGAGCGAACGGGAUUAGAAACCCGAGAUCC